rnacentral:rRNA from 1 species
CAUGGCUCCUUGAAUACAAUACAUAAGGAGUCGGACCUGCCCAGUGAAUAUAUUAAACGGCCGCGGUACUCUGACCGUGCAAAGGUAGCAUAAUCAUUUGCCCUAUAAUUGAGGGCUAGUAUGAAUGGUUUGACAAGAAUAAAGCUGUCUCCAUAUAAUUAUAUAGAAUUUUAUUUUUAGGUGAAGAAGCCUAAAUUAUAUUAAAAGACAAGAAGACCCUAUCGAGCUUUUAAAAAAUUAAUAAAGUAACAAUAAUAUUUAUAAAAUAAAUUUUAUUAAAAAUUUUGGUUGGGGCGACAAAGGAACAACUAAAGCUUCUUUCAAAAUGAUAAGACUAACAAGUAUUGAUCCAGAAAGUUUUGAUUAAAGGAAUAUAGUUACCGUAGGGAUAACAGCAUUAUCUUUUUUGAGAGCUCAUAUCGAAAAAAAGGUUUGUGACCUCGAUGUUGGACCAGAAUACCCAAAAGAUGCAGAAGUCUUUAAAGGUUGGUCUGUUCGACCAUUAAAAUUCUACGUGAUCUGAGUUCAGACCGGCGUGAGCCAGGUCAGUUUCUAUCUUUUAUUAACGAAGUAAGUUUAGUACGAAAGGACCAACUUACAAUAUUGUUAUAAUAUUGACUUAUAGAUUGGAUAUAAUGUAAAAAUAAAUUAAAUAAGU